rnacentral:misc_RNA from 1 species
CUUCGAUUUAUUUGUUUUAUGAUAACUUGGUCAUGGUUCUGAAACCUGAAUGGUUUACUUGCCUCAAUAGUUUGUCUUAAUUAUGUAUACUUCUAUUUUUUUAUUUAAUAUGGGCCAUACUUCCCAUCACCCUGUUUCGGUGCUUAAUUCAUUAAUUAUUCUUUUGAUGUUGCGAUGCAAUGAUAAGGCUGAGCUGUGUAAGUAGACCCCAUUUUUGUCUGGUGUGGAGUCUAAUAAUAUCUGAGUGUAUCAUAUCAUUACUGUGAUGGGCCGAGGCCCAACAUUAAAUAAUCGCACCGAUAUCUUCUCAUUAACAUUAGCACGCUUCAUCGAAAAAGGUUAUCCUAAAGCACCCCAGAAAAGUGGCAAUACCAUUAAUGAGCUUGACCAAAAGAUGGAAUAUACUGAAAUCAUUGACUCAUAGUUAUUUGAAAAUGGCAUCAAUAAGGGAAUUUAACACACCAACAAGCAAAAAGAUUACGUCGACUUGAG